rnacentral:rRNA from 1 species
UACGUAGGGGGCAAGCGUUGUCCGGAAUCAUUGGGCGUAAAGAGCGCGUAGGCGGUCCGGUAAGUCGGUUGUGAAAACUGGGGGCUCAACCCUCAGAGGCCGACCGAUACUGUCGGGCUAGAGUCCGGAAGAGGCGAGUGGAAUUCCUGGUGUAGCGGUGGAAUGCGCAGAUAUCAGGAGGAACACCAAUAGCGAAGGCAGCUCGCUGGGACGGUACUGACGCUAAGGCGCGAAAGCGUGGGGAGCGAACAGG